UACGGAGGGUGCAAGCGUUAUUCGGAAUUACUGGGCGUAAAGCGCGCGUAGGCGGCUAGAUAAGUCGGAUGUGAAAGCCCCGGGCUCAACCUGGGAACUGCAUUCGAUACUGUUUGGCUAGAGUAUGAGAGAGGGAGGUAGAAUUCCACGUGUAGCGGUGAAAUGCGUAGAUAUGUGGAGGAAGACCGGUGGCGAAGGCGGUCGCCUGGCUUAAUACUGACGCUGAGGUGCGAAAGCGUGGGGAGCAAACAGG
rnacentral:rRNA from 1 species